UACGGAGGGGGGCGAGCGUUAUUCGGAAUUAUUGGGCGUAAAGGGCGCGUAGGCGGCUUGACAAGUCAAAGGUGAAAUCCCUCGGCUCAACUGAGGAACUGCCUUUGAAACUGUCUGGCUUGAGGCCGGGAGGGGGUAGCGGAAUUCCCAGUGUAGCGGUGAAAUGCGUAGAUAUCUGGAGGAACACCGGUGGCGAAGGCGGCAUCCUGGACCGGCAUUGACGCUGAGGCGCGAAAGCCAGGGGAGCAAACGGG
rnacentral:rRNA from 1 species